UGAGGAAUUUUCGUCAAUGGGGGCAACCCUGAACGAGCAACGCCGCGUGCCGGAAGAAGGUCUUCGGAUCGUAAACGGCUCUUCAAGAGGACGAGAACGGACGGUACUUUUGGAAGAAGCCCCGGCUAACUACGUGCCAGCAGCCGCGGUAAUACGUAGGGGGCGAGCGUUGUCCGGAGUUACUGGGCGUAAAGGGCGCGCAGGCGGUCUGGGAAGUUUGGAGUGACAGUGCUCGGCUUAACUGAGCAAGGCCUUCGAAAACUCUCAGACUUGAGCACUCAAGAGGGACAUAGAAUUCCGGGUGGAGUGGUGAAAUGCGUAGAUAUCCGGAGGAAUACCAAAGGCGAAGGCAGUGUCCUGGGGAGUGUCUGACGCUCAGGCGCGAAAGCUAGGGGAGCGAACAGGAUUAGAUACCCUGGUAGUCCUAGCCGUAAACGAUGACCACCAGGUGUGCGGAGUAUCGACCCUCUGCGUGCCGGCGUUAACAUUAUAAGUGGUCCGCCUGGGGAGUACGGUCGCAAGAUUAA
rnacentral:rRNA from 1 species